rnacentral:rRNA from 1 species
GUGAAGGCCGGUGCAGCGUACGGGGUAAGACGGAGGAUGCAAACGUGAUCCGGAAUCAUUGGAUUUAAAGGUUCCGUAAGCGGCCGUAUAAGUCAGCGGUGAAAGAUUUUGGCUUAACCAAAAAAUUGCCAUUGAUACUGUAGGGCUUGAAUAUUUGUGAAGUAACUAGAAUAUGUAGUGUAGCGGUGAAAUGCUUAGAUAUUACAUGGAAUACCAAUUGCGAAGGCAGGUUACUAACAAAUGAUUGACGCUGAUGGACGAAAGCGUGGGUAGCGAACAGGAUUAGAUACCCUGGUAGUC